rnacentral:tRNA from 1 species
GCGGGUAUAGCUCAGGGGUAGAGCACAACCUUGCCAAGGUUGGGGUCGAGGGUUCGAAUCCCUUUGCCCGCUCCA